CUACGGGGCGCAGCAGUGGGGAAUAUUGCACAAUGGGCGCAAGCCUGAUGCCGCCAUGCCGCGUGUAUGAAGAAGGCCUUCGGGUUGUAAAGUACUUUCAGCGGGGAGGAAGGGAGUAAAGUUAAUACCUUUGCUCAUUGACGUUACCCGCAGAAGAAGCACCGGCUAACUCCGUGCCAGCAGCCGCGGUAAUACGGAGGGUGCAAGCGUUAACCGGAAUUACUGGGCGUAAAGCGCACGCAGGCGGUUUGUUAAGUCAGAUGUGAAAUCCCCGGGCUCAACCUGGGAACUGCAUCUGAUACUGGCAAGCUUGAGUCUCGUAGAGGGGGGUAGAAUUCCAGGUGUAGCGGUGAAAUGCGUAGAGAUCUGGAGGAAUACCGGUGGCGAAGGCGGCCCCCUGGACGAAGACUGACGCUCAGGUGCGAAAGCGUGGGGAGCAAACAGGAUUAGAUACCCCGGUAGUC
rnacentral:rRNA from 1 species